rnacentral:rRNA from 1 species
CAAUAGCGUAUAUUAAAGUUGUUGCAGUUAAAACGCUCGUAGUCGGAUUUCGGGGCGGCUUCGUCGGUCUGCCGAUGGGUAUGCACUGACGCGGGCGUCCUUCCUUCCGGAGACGCGUCCUACUCUUAGCUGAGCGGGGCGUGGAGACGGAUCGUUUACUUUGAAAAAAUCAGAGUGUUUCAAGCAGGCAUCAUCGCUCUUGCAUGGAUUAGCAUGGGAUAAUGAAAUAGGACCUUGGUGCUAUUUUGUUGGUUUCGAGCACCGAAGUAAUGAUUAACAGGGACAGUCAGGGGCACUCGUAUUCCGCCGAGAGAGGUGAAAUUCUCAGACCAGCGGAAGACGAACCACUGCGAAAGCAUUUGCCAGGGAUGUUUUCACUGAUCAAGAACGAAAGUUAGGGGAUCGAAGACGAUCAGAUACCAU